GAUGAAGAACGCAGCGAAAUGCGAUAAGUAAUGUGAAUUGCAGAAUUCAGUGAAUCAUCGAAUCUUUGAACGCACAUUGCGCCCUCUGGUAUUCCGGGGGGCAUGCCAGUUCGAGCGUCAUUAUAACCACUCAAGCUCUCGCUUGGUAUUGGAGUUCGCGAUCUCGCGGCUCCUAAAAUCAGUGGCGGUGCCUGUCGGCUCUACGCGUAGUAAUACUCCUCGCGAUUGAGUCCGGUAGGUUUACUUGCCAGCAACCCCCAAUUUUUAAAGGUUGACCUCGGAUCAGGUAGGGAUACCCGCUGAACUUAAGCAUAUCAAUAAGCGGAGGA
rnacentral:misc_RNA from 1 species